rnacentral:rRNA from 1 species
UGGUGGGCAGUUUGACUGGGGCGGUCUCCUCCUAAAGAGUAACGGAGGAGUACGAAGGUGCGCUCAGACCGGUCGGAAAUCGGUCGCAGAGUAUAAAGGCAAAAGCGCGCUUGACUGCGAGACAGACACGUCGAGCAGGUACGAAAGUAGGUCUUAGUGAUCCGGUGGUUCUGUAUGGAAGGGCCAUCGCUCAACGGAUAAAAGGUACUCCGGGGAUAACAGGCUGAUACCGCCCAAGAGUUCAUAUCGACGGCGGUGUUUGGCACCUCGAUGUCGGCUCAUCACAUCCUGGGGCUGAAGCCGGUCCCAAGGGUAUGGCUGUUCGCCAUUUAAAGUGGUACGCGAGCUGGGUUUAGAACGUCGUGAGACAGUUCGGUCCCUAUCUGCCGUGGACGUUUGAGAUUUGAGAGGGGCUGCUCCUAGUACGAGAGGACCGGAGUGGACGAACCUCUGGUGUUCCGGUUGUCACGCCAGUGGCAUUGCCGGGUAGCUAUGUUCGGAAAAGAUAACCGCUGAAAGCAUCUAAGCGGGAAACUUGCCUCAAGAUGAGAUCUCACUGGGAACUUGAUUCCCCUGAAGGGCCGUCGAAGACUACGACGUUGAUAGGCUGGGUGUGUAAGCG